rnacentral:rRNA from 1 species
GACGAACGCUGGCGGCGUGCUUAACACAUGCAAGUCGAACGGAAAGGCCCUGCUUUUGUGGGGUGCUCGAGUGGCGAACGGGUGAGUAACACGUGAGUAACCUGCCCUUGACUUUGGGAUAACUUCAGGAAACUGGGGCUAAUACCGGAUAGGAGCUCCUGCUGCAUGGUGGGGGUUGGAAAGUUUCGGCGGUUGGGGAUGGACUCGCGGCUUAUCAGCUUGUUGGUGGGGUAGUGGCUUACCAAGGCUUUGACGGGUAGCCGGCCUGAGAGGGUGACCGGCCACAUUGGGACUGGGAUACGGCCCAGACUCCUACGGGAGGCAGCAGUGGGGAAUAUUGCACAAUGGGCGGAAGCCUGAUGCAGCAACGCCGCGUGCGGGAUGACGGCCUUCGGGUUGUAAACCGCGUUCGCCUGUGACGAAGCGUGAGUGACGGUAAUGGGUAAAGAAGCACCGGCUAACUACGUG